rnacentral:rRNA from 1 species
CCUACGGGACGCAGCAGUGAGGAAUAUUGGUCAUUGGGCGCGAGCCUGAACCAGCCAAGUAGCGUGAAGGAUGACUGCCCUACGGGUUGUAACCUUCUUUUAUAAAGGAAUAAGGUGAGGCACGUGUGCCUUUUUGUAUGUACUUUAUGAAUAAGGAUCGGCUAACUCCGUGCCAGCAGCCGCGGUAAUACGGAGGAUCCGAGCGUUAUCCGGAUUUAUUGGGUUUAAAGGGAGCGUAGAUGGGUUUUUAAGUCAGUUGUGAAAGUUUGCGGCUCAACCGUAAAAUUGCAAUUGAUACUGGCAGUCUUGAGUACAGUUGAGGUAGGCGGAAUUCGUGGUGUAGCGGUGAAAUGCUUAGAUAUCACGAAGAACCCCGAUUGCGAAGGCAGCUUACUAAACUGCGACUGACAUUGAUGCUCGAAAGUGUGGGUAUCAAACAGGAUUAGAUACCCCAGUAGUC